rnacentral:misc_RNA from 1 species
AAGAAACAACUUGAUUCUGCCAAAACCAAGCUAGAAAAGCUGAGUACUGGUUGAUUACAAGUUGGUUCAUUGCUUCAAAACUUUACUGAUAUCUUUACUGGUGAGAAUACUUCAGUAGUGUCAACAUCACUGAUUACAGCUCUCUGGCCGCCUGAGUUUAGUCCCGUUCAAAUGCUGCAAUAUCUCAAAAUUCUAGGAAUUUGUGGUGGGGGGUGGUCAUCGCAUCAGUGGUUAAAAAUAUCAGGGUGAUGCCUUACUAUGCGUUUUAGACAAGAACAUUGUGUAUUUCAAUCCUUAAUUGGUUUAAUCCUCUUCCCAUCUUUGUCCUCUUUAUUGGAUAUAUCAUACAUGGUCGUGUGAAGUGGUUGUUUAUUAGGUGGCUAGCUAGCUUUUAAGGGUUUUUUGGCAAGAUCUUCAUCAUUCAUUAGAAUGCCAGUUUUGGUCAAUAUUCCUUGUGAACCUCUGAAAACAGCAUAUGUACAAUUUAACUUUGUGACAAAUGCAGUCAGAAAACACCUCAUGUUUACUUAAAGAAUUGUAAGGAAGAAAAUGAGGAAGGGAAAA